rnacentral:misc_RNA from 1 species
UUAAGUUCAGCGGGUAGUCCUACCUGAUUUGAGGUCAAGUAUUCAGUAAUAUAGUUUGUCUCUUCAGACAGUUGGGAAGCAGAACAGGACAGAGAGCAACCACACUGGCGUAGAUAGGAUUAUCACACCUGUGAUGGAUUGCAAACGGUUCCACUAAUGCAUUUCAGAGGAGCCGACCUAGGUUAAACAAGGCCUGCAAA